UACGAAGGGAGCUAGCGUUGCUCGGAAUUACUGGGCGUAAAGCGCACGUAGGCGGCUCUUUAAGUCGGGGGGUGAAAUCCUGGAGCUCAACUCCAGAACUGCCUUCGAUACUGAAGAGCUUGAGUCCGGGAGAGGUGAGUGGAACUGCGAGUGUAGAGGUGAAAUUCGUAGAUAUUCGCAAGAACACCAGUGGCGAAGGCG
rnacentral:rRNA from 1 species